rnacentral:rRNA from 1 species
AUUGAACGCUGGCGGCAGGCCUAACACAUGCAAGUCGAACGAGUGGCGGACGGGUGAGUAAUGUCUGUGAAACUGCCUUAUUGAUGGGGAUAACUACUGGAAACUGUAGCUAAUACCGCAUACCCUCAGAUGUGCCCAGCUGGGAUUAGCUUGUUGGUGGGGUAACGGCUCACCAAGGCGACGAUCCCUAGCUGGUCUGAGAGGAUGACCAGCCACACUGGAACUGAGACACGGGCCAGACUCCUACGGGAGGCAGCAGUGGGGAAUAUUGCACAAUGGGCGCAAGCCGGAUGCAGCCAGGCCGCGUGUAUGAAGAAGGCCUUCGGGUUGUAAAGUACUUUCAGCGGGGAGGCGUUACCCGCAGAAGAAGCACCGGCUAACUCCGUGCCAGCAGCCGCGGUAAUUC